GAGAGAGAGAGAGAGAAAGAGAGAAAGAAAAAAUGCAACAAAUUAUUAGCUUCGCGGGAUACGAAAAGGUGACGAGGGGUUUGGACGGACGACCCUUCUCCUCGCUUUUACAGUCCGUUCACGAAUUCAUUGCUCACACUAUAUUCGUGGCACACGUACAGGGCAUAAAAUGGAAGAUAAAGGAUAGAGUGAUUAAAACGUAGCUACAUAUAUACGUAUGUACGUAUGUACACGGCUCAUACAUAACAGACAUGAAGUGAAAUACAACGUGAUGAGACGCGCGUGUA